GUGACCAUCCUGAGAACGCUCGAUCUUGUCCAAUCUCAGAAGUUAAGCAGGGUAUGGCUCAGGUGUUGUCUAUUAACUAUUAAACAACUAUUUAAGAAUACU
rnacentral:rRNA from 14 species